UGGGGAAUUUUACGCAAUGGGGGAAACCCUGACGUAGCGACACCGCGUGAGCGAAGAAGCCUUUUGGGGUGUAAAGCUCUGUCAGCUGGAACGAACACAAUGACGGUACCAGCAGAGGAAGCAUCGGCUAACUACGUGCCAGCAGCCGCGGUAAGACGUAGGAUGCAAGCGUUGUCCGGAUUCAUUGGGCGUAAAGAGUUCGUAGGUGGUCUGUUAAGUUUGGUGUUAAAGAGCGGGGCCCAACCCCGAUAGUGCACUGAAUACUGGCAGACUUGAGUGCGGUAGAGGUAAGUGGAAUUCCAAGUGUAGCGGUGAAAUGCAUAGAUAUUUGGAAGAACACCGGUGGCGUAAGCGACUUACUGGGCCGUAACUGACACUGAGGAACGAAAGCCGGGG
rnacentral:rRNA from 1 species